rnacentral:rRNA from 1 species
AGAGUUUGAUCCUGGCUCAGAUUGAACGCUGGCGGAAUGCUUUACACAUGCAAGUCGAACGGCAGCACGGGAGCAAUCCUGGCGGCGAGUGGCGAACGGGUGAGUAAUAUAUCGGAACGUGCCCAGUCGUGGGGGAUAACGCAGCGAAAGCUGUGCUAAUACCGCAUACGAUCUCUGGAUGAAAGCGGGGGACUCGCAAGAGCCUCGCGCGAUUGGAGCGGCCGAUAUCAGAUUAGCUAGUUGGUGGGGUAAAAGCUCACCAAGGCGACGAUCUGUAGCUGGUCUGAGAGGACGACCAGCCACACUGGAACUGAGACACGGUCCAGACUCCUACGGGAGGCAGCAGUGGGGAAUUUUGGACAAUGGGCGCAAGCCUGAUCCAGCAAUGCCGCGUGCAGGAUGAAGGCCUUCGGGUUGUAAAGCUCUUUCAGCAGGAACGAAACGGUCGGCUUUAAUAAAGUCGGCUAAUGACGGUACCUGCAGAAGAAGCACCGGCUAACUCCGUGCCAGCAGCCGCGGUAAUA